rnacentral:rRNA from 1 species
GAUGAACGCUGGCGGCGUGCUUAACACAUGCAAGUCGAACGAAGCACUUUUUUUAAGCUUGCUUUUAAAAGUGACUGAGUGGCGGACGGGUGAGUAACGCGUGGGUAACCUACCUCACACAGGGGGAUAACAGUUAGAAAUGACUGCUAAUACCGCAUAAAAAUGGCAAUUUCGCAUGAAACAACCAUCAAAGAUUUAUCGGUGUGGGAUGGACCCGCGUCUGAUUAGCUAGUUGGUAAGGUAACGGCUUACCAAGGCGAUGAUACGUAGCCGACCUGAGAGGGUGAUCGGCCACACUGGGACUGAGACACGGCCCAG